ACGCAGCAACGCCGCGUGGAUGAUGAAGCUUUUCGGAGUGUAAAAUCCUUUCAGCAGGGAAGAAUAUCUUGACGGUACCUGCAGAAGAAGUCCCGGCCAACUCCGUGCCAGCAGCCGCGGUAACACGGGGGGGACAAGCGUUGUUCGGAUUCACUGGGCGUGAAGCGCUCGUAGGUGGGCUGGAUAGUCGGAUGUGAAAUCCUGAGGCUUAACUUCAGGCCUGCAUCCGAAACUGCCAGUCUUGAGUACUGGAGAGGGUGGCGGAAUUCCUGGUGUAGCGGUGAAAUGCGUAGAUAUCAGGAGGAACACCGAUGGCGAAGGCAGCCACCUGGACAGAUACUGACACUGAGGGGCGAAGGCUAGGGUAGCAAACAGGAUUAGAUACCCUGGUAGUCCUAGCGGUAAACGAUGGGCACUAGGUGUUGGCGGUAUCGACCCCGCCAGUGCCGCAGCAAACGCAUUAAGUGCCCCGCCUGGGGAGUACGGUCGCAAGAUUGAAACUCAAAGGAAUUGACGGGGGCCCGCACAAGCGGUGGAGUAUGUGGUUCAAUUCGACGCAACGCGCAGAACCUUACCUGGGCUUGACAUAUACCGGAAAGCCACAGAGAUGUGGUUCCUCCUUCGGGAGUCGGUAUACAGGUGCUGCAUGGCUGUCGUCAGCUCGUGUCGUGAGAUGUUGGGUUAAGUCCCGCAACGAGCGCAACCCUCGUUCUUAGUUGCCAUCAGGUUAUGCUGGGGACUCUAAAAAGACUGCCGGUGACAAGCCGGAGGAAGGUGGGGAUGACGUCAAGUCCUCAUGGCCCUUACGCCCAGGGCUACACACGUACUACAAUGGCCGGUAUAGACGGCAGCAAUACCGCAAGGUGGAGCUAAUCCCUAAAACCGGCCUCAGUUCAGAUUGGAGUCUGCAACUCGACUCCAUGAAGG
rnacentral:rRNA from 1 species